ACAAGAAACACCCGCCCAAAAGCCGCCUCCAACCAAUGAAACAUGCUUAAAUAGAUCACCUUACAGGCAGAGAGAGAAAGGGUAGAAGAGAAACAAACAAACAAAGAGCAGAAAUUAAAGGAAAAUGUUCGCUAGUAAUGAUGGAGCGAAAGGUGACGUAGAAGAAGGAACAAGGUCCCUGCUGUAUCCAGGCAUUGGAAAUGAGGAAAAUGAGUUGCGUUGGAGUUUCAUUCGCAAAGUUUACUAUAUCCUAGCCUCUCAGAUCAUCCUAACCACCAUCAUCUCUGCCAUCGCCGUCUUUUACACUCCCAUUAACAACCUCCUUCAUGGCAUUAAUACCAUCCUUCUCAUUAUCCUCAUUUUCCUACCUCUCCUAUUGUUAUUGCCCUUAUAUUUCUAUCGAGAAAAGCAUCCGCUGAAUUUUGUUUUCCUUGGCCUCUUCACUAUAACCCUGAGUAUCGGUAUUGCAGUAAGUUGUGCUAAUACAGAUGGAAAAAGUGUGCUUGAAGCGUUGAUCUUGACAUCUGCUGUAGUUUUAGCUCUUACUGGUUACACAUUUUGGGCUUCUAGGAGAGGCCAUGACUUCAGGUUUUUGGGCCCAACACUGUUUGCUAGCCUCUUUGUGCUUGUGUUGACUGGAUUUAUGCAGAAUUUCUUCAUUUGCAGAUCGAUCAUAACCGGUGGCCGCUGGAAAAUGAAGAAAAAACAGUCAUGCAGAAGCCUCUUCCUUCUCUGCUGUAACUUUGGGCCAACCCACUAUUUCAAAUUUUGUUAAUUCAAGAUUCAAGUGAUAUGGCUAAGAAAGCUUCUACUCCGAUGAGGACUAGAGGCUCUUAUGCUGAGAAUCGUUCAAAAAUAAUUAACGAUCCUAGGCGUUCUGCUGAUUAUGUUGAUUCCAAGAGUAAACUACAAGAAAAAGUGAAAAAGGUUUCUCAAAUGGAGAAACAAAAGAAGAGAAAUGCUGGUAACAAUGUUGUUAAUGUUAAGGGCAAAAAAAUUGCUAAAACCAAACAUAAUGUCGAUGAGGAUGAUGAUGGAGAGGUAUAUUUAUGUUGUAUUUUCAGUAUAUUUAGUUCGUUUGUAUUUUUUAGUUCAGUUAUUACAGAUCAGUGACUUAACCAGAUCUAUAUUUUAUGUGCAUUUUAAGUAUAUUUUGUAUUGUUAUUUUUUUUCAAAUGUUUCUUCAGUUAGUUCGUGUUUA